rnacentral:rRNA from 1 species
AACGAACGCUGGCGGCGUGGAUAAGACAUGCAAGUCGAACGGGAUUAAAUUUGUAGUAAUACAAGUUUGGUCUAGUGGCGAACGGGUGCGUAACACGUGAGUAAUCUACCGAAGAGUGGGGGAUAGCUCGCCGAAAGGCGAAUUAAUACCGCAUACGGCCAUUCCUUAAUUGAGGGAGAAGCUAAAGCAGCAAUGCGCUUUUUGAUGAACUCGCGGCCUAUCAGCUAGAUGGCGGGGUAAAAGCCCACCAUGGCUAUGACGGGUAGCUGGUCUGAGAGGACGACCAGCCACACUGGAACUGAGACACGGUCCAGACACCUACGGGUGGCAGCAGUCGAGAAUUUUUCACAAUGGGGGAAACCCUGAUGGGGCGACGCCGCGUGGAGGAUGAAGGCCCUCGGGUCGUAAACUCCUGUCAUGCGGGAACAAGAAAGUGAUAGUACCGCAAGAGGAAGAGACGGCUAACUCUGUGCCAGCAGCCGCGGUAAAAC